UGACGAGUUUCAAGAUGGCGACCUGCAGCGCCUGAGGAUUACAUCCGCCAGACUAAGGAUUUAUUGGCCAUAAUCUGCAAACUGUAUUGAUGGGAGAAAAUGAUUCACUGAUCUGCUGACUAAUGGUGAUGGAAAUUGCACCGAUUUAAAUGCUGUGACAUUCAUCACCCAUACUUGUCAGUUUUCUUGACUGUGGUACAAGGGCAGACUGGAGUACGGGGUAUCCUUCUUUUCAAGAACAAUGUGUUAAUUGGCACAGAGUUGAACCUUCAAAAACAUUUGAACCAAAUGAGUAUAAAAGAGAAACUUCAGCUUUUAGGACCAAUUUGUGCAUCUGGCCCAGAACACUAAUAGAAGCGCCCCCUAUUGGUCAAUUGGAUCAGAACACUGAUAGAAGCGCCCCCUAUUGGAUAUCUGGACCAGAACACUGAUAGAAGCACCCCCUAUUGGAUAUCUGGACCAGAACACUGAUAGAAGCGCCCCCUAUUGGACAUCUGGAUCAGAACACUGAUAGAAGCGCCCCCUAUUGGACAUCUGGAUGGGAACACUGAUUAAACACCCCCCAAUUUGACAUCUGGACCAAAACGCUGACAUCUGGACCUGGCCGUGUGUACCAUGGGGCUUGCCCCAGUCAAGCCCUGCCUCUAUGAUGGGGACUAUUGCACAA